UCAACCAUCAAGCCUGGCUUGUCUUUGGACCCUUUGCUGCUGAAACAUGUGGCAGGUCCGAAAAAUAAUGACGGUGUCAUGUUUGACCCUAGAUGCAACGAGCUUUUCAUAGCACGCAUUGAAGUGGUCGGCCGGCCCGGUCUUAACCAUCAUUUUUCUAA
rnacentral:misc_RNA from 1 species